CAGGAAUAUGACAGUUGUUGCCCAUUUGUUUGAUGUGCUUUAUUAUUUGAUUUUGCCAUUCGAUUAGGUACUUUCUGAUUUGAAUUUUCCUCGGAGUGCAGUAUUUUUCUGCAAAUUGUUUUCCAAUUGGUGUGGUGUGUUUCAGCUUUUGGUUUUGUUUGAUCUGGGACAUUCCGUUUGGAAUUUACCUCGGAGUUAGGUAUUUUUGUUGUGUUACUUUUUUUGUUAUGUCUUGCAUCGAUACCAGAGUAUUGCGUUCUGUCUUUUAUUUACUCAGCUUUGAACCACUAGUUUUCUUUUUCUUUUUCUUUUUUGGUUGAAAGACGGAUCAAAAAUAACAAGGAGAAAGUCGCAAACCACAGUCGAAGACAAAACAGAUCACAGAAUGACCACUGCGAACAAAUGGGACCGACAAAACUCUUAAAAUACUUCAUCGAAAUGUGCGAACAAUACCUAAUUUAUUAUUUGAUAAAACAACUAAUAUAGAGUGUUAUAAUAGGGUAACAUUAAAAGGAUUUCGCCGGAUAUUUUAUUUGAAAGCGCAUGGUACAUACAGUUUUCGAAUAUUGAACGGGAAAAAACUUCGUAACAUGUGUUUAGACAUCGGAAAAACUUUUUUACUAGAUAUAAUACCUUGUUUAAGCUUGUUCCCUAAAAUUCUUCCAUUACUCUUUUUUUCAAAUACGGUUAAUCAUUUUUUGCUUAUAUUGACAUUACUAUCUAUUCAAUAAAGUCAAAAAAUCCCUGUUUUCCAAUGGUGUUCAUAGUUCAACUGUUUGUUUUUUUUGUUGUUUUUUUUUUUUGGGGGGGGGGGGCUUUGGGUUACAAACAAUAAAACUAUUCUAUGUUUUGGCAUAUUAUAAUCAAACAUCAGAACACAUUCUUCUUUUAUAACAAUCAUUUUUUGGAAGUUUUUGUUAUAGUUACACUUUUCUGUAAAUUUUGCGCAAUCAACGUUUUAGUUAUAGUAUACACGUACAAGAAAAGGACAUUUUGUUAAAUACUAGCAAUAUCUAGGAAU
rnacentral:lncRNA from 1 species